UUAUCCAAUGAUGCGUGUAUAGUAUUCAACAUAUAUUAAACAUCACUAAGCAAUCCUAAUAUUUCAUAAGAGUAUUUAAACACUUUGUACUAGGAAACCUAUCAAAAGAUUAUAUUCCACUAAAAGAAAAUCCUUUCUAUGCAAAUACAACUUAGAGGACAAUCUAUUCCAUGAGAGAUAAACAUUACCAAACAGCUAAAUUAAUUUUGCAAGAGCUAAUAAUCGAUAUAAAAGCCAAUACUAAUUUGCAAGAGGUAAACCUCCUAGAAAAGCCAAACAAUUUUGCGAGAGGUAAACCUCAUAAUAUCCAAAGUAAUUUUGUGAGAGGUAAACCUCAUAAUAUCCAAAGUAAUUUUGCGAGAGGUCCCGGGUUCGACUCCCGGACAAGCCCCCAAUUGUCACACCCAAGUCAACCCAAGAGGACAUACAAUAAAUUCUCGCAACCAAUUGUCACACCCAAGUAACUCAAGAGGACAUUAAAUGAAUUA